AUGAAGGACGCGCCCGGCGCGCAGCGCCCGCACAGCGCCGCGGACCGGGCCGCCGCGCCAGAGCAAGCCGGGAACCAAGCCCGGCCCCACCGCACCCUGCGCCCAGAGCCUCCCGCAGGGGCGGAGCCUGCCGCGCUCUGGGCGCUCUGGGCGCGCCGUGCUCGCCUUCCGCUGCUGCCUGAGCUGGGCGCUGGCCCGAGGGCGCGCGCGUCUCAGGUGUGCUCAUCUUUUGCUUCAGGGCCCAGACAACAGCAUGAAACGCUGUAUGCAUUUUGAACCUGUUAUCUUACACCUUCAAAAAUGAAUGAGUUCCUGGAAAAUUUUAAGAAAAAUCUUCAUCUUCGGACAGUUCAUUCUGAAUUGGUUGGAUACUGGAGUGUAGAAUUUGGAGGCAGAAUGAACAAAGUAUUUCAUAUUUGGAAAUAUGAUAAUUUUGCUCAUCGAACUGCAGUCCAGAAAGCAUUGGCCAAAGAUAAAGAAUGGCAAGAACAAUUCCUUAUUCCAAAUUUGGUUCACAUUGAUAAACAAGAGAGUGAGAUUACUUAUCUGGUCCCAUGGUGCAAAAUAGAACAGCCUGCAAAAGAAGGAGUCUAUGAACUGGCUACCUUUCAGAUGAAACCUGGUGGUCCGGCUCUGUGGGGGGAUGCAUUUAAAAGGGCAGUUCAUACCCAUGUCAAUCGAGGCUACACAAAGCUAGUUGGUGUUUGCCACACAGAAUAUGGAGCACUCAACAGAGGGCUUUAUGGCUAAGAGUUUGCCUUGAGUCCCAGAGAAGCAUGGGGACUUGGACUUCUAAGCAGUGCUGGGACUGUUGAGGGAGGCCUUUAAUGCAUUUUCUGCUGUAUGUGGGAUACUUGUAUCAUGCUAGGUAGAUGAUAACUUUGAAUUUAUAUGAAGAUUAACUAUCACUGAAGGGGAUGUGUUUUGAUAUCAAGCUAACAAAAGAUGAAAUAUGACAGUUAAGCUUCAUUGACAGUUUGAUUGGCU